rnacentral:rRNA from 1 species
AAACGCUUGAAGUCAGUCGUAUCUGCCAGGACUCAGCCUUGCUUCUGCUUGGUGCACUUUCUGGUCGGAUGGGCCAACAUCGAUUUUGACCGUUGGAAAAAGGCUUGGGGAAUGUGGCAUCUUCGGAUGUGUUAUAGCCUUUACUUGCAUACAGUGGUUGGGAUUGAGGAACUCAGCACGCCGCAAGGCCGGGUUUCGACCACGUUCGUGCUUAGGAUGCUGGCAUAAUGGCUUUAAUCGA